CUUGCCCCCUACGUAUUACCGCGGCUGCUGGCACGUAGUUAGCCGGGGCUUCUUAGUCAGGUACCGUCACUUUCUUCCCUGCUGAUAGAAGUUUACAUACCGAAAUACUUCAUCCUUCACGCGGCGUCGCUGCAUCAGGGUUUCCCCCAUUGUGCAAUAUUCCCCACUGCUGCCUCCCGUANGGAGUCUGGGCCGUGUCUCAAUCCCAAAUGUGGCCGGUCACCCUCUCA
rnacentral:rRNA from 1 species